rnacentral:rRNA from 1 species
GAUGAACGCUAGCGGGAGGCCUAACACAUGCAAGCCGAGCGGUAUUGUUUCUUCGGAAAUGAGAGAGCGGCGUACGGGUGCGGAACACGUGUGCAACCUGCCUCUAUCUGGGGGAUAGCCUUUCGAAAGGAAGAUUAAUACUCCAUAAUAUAUUGAACGGCAUCGUUUAAUAUUGAAAGCUCCGGCGGAUAGAGAUGGGCACGCGCAAGAUUAGCUAGUUGGUGAGGUAACGGCUCACCAAGGCGAUGAUCUUUAGGGGGCCUGAGAGGGUGAUCCCCCACACUGGUACUGAGACACGGACCAGACUCCUACGGGAGGCAGCAGUGAGGAAUAUUGGUCAAUGGGUGCAAGCCUGAACCAGCCAUCCCGCGUGAAGGACGACUGCCCUAUGGGUUGUAAACUUCUUUUGUAUAGGGAUAAACCUACCCUCGUGAGGGUAGCUGAAGGUACUAUACGAAUAAGCACCGGCUAACUCCGUGCCAGCAGCCGCGGUAAUACGGAGGGUGCAAGCGUCAUCCGGAUUUAUUGGGUUUAAAGGGUCCGUAGGCGGACUUAUAAGUCAGUGGUGAAAGCCUGUCGCUUAACGAUAGAACUGCCAUUGAUACUGUAAGUCUUGAGUAUAUUUGAGGUAGCUGGAAUAAGUAGUGUAGCGGUGAAAUGCAUAGAUAUUACUUAGAACACCAAUUGCGAAGGCAGGUUACCAAGAUAUAACUGACGCUGAGGGACGAAAGCGUGGGGAGCGAACAGGAUUAAAUACCCUGGUAGUCCACGCCGUAAACGAUGCUAACUCGUUUUUGGGCUUUAGGGUUCAGAGACCAAGCGAAAGUGAUAAGUUAGCCACCUGGGGAGUACGCUCGCAAGAGUGAAACUCAAAGGAAUUGACGGGGGCCCGCACAAGCGGUGGAUUAUGUGGUUUAAUUCGAUGAUACGCGAGGAACCUUACCAAGACUUAAAUGGGAAUUGACAGCUUUAGAAAUAGAGCUUUCUUCGGACAAUUUUCAAGGUGCUGCAUGGUUGUCGUCAGCUCGUGCCGUGAGGUGUUAGGUUAAGUCCUGCAACGAGCGCAACCCCUGUCACUAGUUGCCAUCAUUCAGUUGGGGACUCUAGUGAGACUGCCUACGCAAGUAGAGAGGAAGGUGGGGAUGACGUCAAAUCAUCACGGCCCUUACGUCUUGGGCCACACACGUAAUACAAUGGCCGGUACAGAGGGCAGCUACACAGCGAUGUGAUGCAAAUCUCGAAAGCCGGUCUCAGUUCGGAUUGGAGUCUGCAACUCGACUCUAUGAAGCUGGAAUCGCUAGUAAUCGCGCAUCAGCCAUGGCGCGGUGAAUACGUUCCCGGGCCU